rnacentral:rRNA from 1 species
CAGCAGCCACGGGAAUACGUAGGUGGCAAGCGUUGUCCGGAAUUAUUGGGCGUAAAGGGCUCGCAGGCGGUUUCUUAAGUCUGAUGUGAAAGCCCCCGGCUCAACCCGGGAGGGUCAUUGGAAACUGGGAAACUUGAGUGCAGAAGAGGAGAGUGGAAUUCCACGUGUAGCGGUGAAAUGCGUAGAGAUGUGGAGGAACACCAGUGGCGAAGGCGACUCUCUGGUCUGUAACUGACGCUGAGGAGCGAAAGCGUGGGGAGCGAACAGGAUUAGAUACCCCCGUAGUCCCUGUCUCUUAUAC